rnacentral:rRNA from 1 species
UACGGGGGGAGCAAGCGUUGUUCGGAUUUACUGGGCGUAAAGGGCGCGUAGGCGGCCACCGCAAGUCGACUGUGAAAUCUCCGGGCUUAACCCGGAAAGGUCAGCCGAUACUGCGGGGCUAGAGUGCAGAAGGGGCAACUGGAAUUCUCGGUGUAGCGGUGAAAUGCGUAGAUAUCGAGAGGAACAUCAGUGGCGAAAGCGACUUCCUGGACCAAUACUGACGCUCAUGUGCGAAAGCGUGGGAGCAAACAGG